UGCGUAGGCAGGCUAAUAAGUCAGUGGUGAAAUCUCUCGGCUCAACCGGGAAACUGCCAUUGAUACUGUUAGUCUUGAGUUCGGUUGAGGUAGGCGGAAUGUGUAAUGUAGCGGUGAAAUGCUUAGAUAUUACACAGAACACCAAUUGCGUAGGCAGCUUACUAGACCGACACUGACGCUGAGGCACGAAAGCGUGGGGAGCGAACAGGAUUAGAUACCCUGGUAGUCC
rnacentral:rRNA from 1 species